ensembl:lncRNA
AUGUUAACAUCAGAAUCCUCCUCCCUAAGUUUUUUUAAUGCUUUAGCACACUCCGCCAACCCUGAUGUCUUAGCCGUGUCUAAAUCCUGGCUUAGGAACGCCGCCAAAAAUUCUGAAAUGUCCAUCCCCAACUACAGCAUUUUCCGCCAAGAUAUAACUGCCAAAGGGAGUGGAGUUGCAAUCUACUGCAGAGACAGCCUGCAGAGUUCUGUCAUGCUAUCCAGGUCUGUGCCCAAACAGUUCGAGCUUCUACUUUUAAAAAUCCACCUUUCCAAAAAUAAGUCUCUCACUGUUGCCGCUUGUUAUAGACCCCCCUCAGCCCCCAGCGGUGCCCUGGACACCAUAUGUGAAUUGAUCGCCCGCCAUUUAUCUUCAGAGUUUGUACUGUUAGGCGAUCUAAACUGGGAUAUGCUUAACACCCCGGCCGUCCUACAAUCUAAGCUAGAUGCCCUCAAUCUCACACAAAUUAUCAUGGAACCUACUGGGUACAACCCUAAAUCUGUAAACACGGGCACCCUCAUAGAUAUCAUCCUGACCAACCUGCCCUCUAAAUACACCUCUGCUGUUUUCAACCAGGAUCUCAGUGAUCACUGCCUCAUUGCCUGUGUCCGUAAUGGGUCCGCGGUCAAACGACCACCCCUCAUCACAGUCAAACGCUCCCUAAAACACUUCAGCGAGCAGGCCUUUCUAAUCGACCUGGUCCAGGUAUCCUGGAAGGAUAUUGACCUCAUUCCGUCAGUAGAGGAUGCCUGGUUAUUCUUUAAAAGUGCCUUCCUCACCAUCUUAAAUAAGCAUGCCCCAUUAAAAAAAUGUAGAACUAAGAACAGAUAUAGCCCUUGGUUCUCUCCAGACCUGACUGCCCUUGACCAUGCCAACAACAUCCUGUGGUGCACUGCAUUAGCAUCGAAUAGCCCCCGAGAUAUGCUACUUUUCAGGGAAGUGAGGAACCAAUAUACACAGGCAGUUAGGAAAGCUAAGGCUAGCUUUUUCAAACAGAAGUUUGCAUCCUGUAGCACAAACUCUAAAAAGUUAUGGGACGCUGUAAAGUCCAUGUAG